UACGUAGGUGGCAAGCGUUGUCCGGAAUCACUGGGCGUAAAGCGCACGUAGGCGGAUUGCUAAGUCAGGGGUGAAAUCCUGGAGCUCAACUCCAGAACUGCCUUUGAUACUGGCGAUCUCGAGUCCGGGAGAGGUGAGUGGAACUGCGAGUGUAGAGGUGAAAUUCGUAGAUAUUCGCAAGAACACCAGUGGCGAAGGCGGCUCACUGGCCCGGUACUGACGCUGAGGUGCGAAAGCGUGGGGAGCAAACAGG
rnacentral:rRNA from 1 species